rnacentral:rRNA from 1 species
GACGAACGCUGGCGGCGUGCUUAAUACAUGCAAGUCGAACGGACAGGCGCUGCUUUUGUGGGGUGCUCGAGUGGCGAACGGGUGUGUAACACGUGAGUAACAUGCCCUUGACUUUGGGAUAACUUCUGGGAACAGGGGCUCAAACCGGGUAGAAGCUCCUGCUGCAUGGUGUGGGUUGGAAAGAUUCGGCGGUUGGAGAUCGACUCGCGGCUUAUCAGCUAGUUGGUGGGGUAGUGGCUUACCAAGGCUUUGACGGGUAGCCGGCCUGAGAGCGUGACCGGCCACAUGGGUACUGAGAUACGGAGCAGUAGCCUACGGGAGGCAGCAGGCGGAAAUAUGACACAGCGGGCGCAAGCGUGAUGCAGCAGUGCCGCGAUCGUGAUGACGUCUUUCUAGUUAAGAACCGCUUUCUCAGGUAACAAAGACGGAGUGACGGUAAUUAGUAAGGAAGCACCGGCUAACUACGUG